UACGUAGGGUGCGAGCGUUAAUCGGAAUUACUGGGCGUAAAGCGUGCGCAGGCGGUUCGUUGUGUCGGCGGUGAAAGCCCCGGGCUCAACCUGGGAAUUGCAUUUGAGACUGCAUAGCUAGGGUGCGGAAGAGGGAAGCGGAAUUUCCGGUGUAGCGGUGAAAUGCGUAGAUAUCGGAAGGAACACCAGUGGCGAAAGCGGCUUCCUGGUCCAGCACCGACGUUCAGGCACGAAAGCGUGGGGAGCAAACAGG
rnacentral:rRNA from 1 species